rnacentral:antisense_RNA from 1 species
AUCCACCCAAGACCCGGUUCCUCGAUUCCCAUCGUUACGACCGAGGAGAAAAGAGAGUAAAUUUUCCUAUUAUAGCCUUCUCUCGCACCUUCCCCGCUUCCCACCAGCCGUCUCCACUGUCCUCACCGUCCCCAUCCUCAUCCAUGGCGAAAUCUUCGCCCCCAGCCUCGUGAAGAUCUAGCACGUCCGCCAUCUCGCCUUCGAUCGAGAUCUCGUCUGUGCCGCUCAGACACUAGAUGCUGUUGACUGGGGCAAAGAAUAAUGGGAGAAAAACAGCUGGGUCCUAAAUAACAGAGGGAAACCAACUUUCAAUAAAGUAUUCAACAACUAAUCCACAAAGCAGAUAACUGAACUUGCUGGCCUGCUCUAUAGUGCUGUUGCUUAAAAAGUCAUCUGUGAAGAAAACCAGAGGGAGAAAUUUCACCUGCCAAAGUGGAUAAAGAGAUGGGAAAAGUGAGGCCCAGAGAUUUGCCCCAUUGAUAUUCAGAAGAAUGACUGUGCUUGCAGCAAGAAAUAUUGAGGGAUGAGGUACUAUCUUCACUCAGAUAAAGAACAUGCUUGCUUCAGCUUGUUGUAAAAUGGCAAGUUCCCCAAGCUGUGGGUUCUAUAAGUGUUCCUCUGUUGUGAAGCAACCCAUGGCCUAUGCAAGUAUCUACCUGAGUCCUCUGCAUUGGACUUGGGAGGAGGCAAGGAGAACUAAUAUAAACAUGAUGCUCAUGCUACUUGCUGUGCUAUGAAUAAUAAAUUCCUUU